AUGAAUCUCCUGGGUGCUCAGGAUAAAGGAAAGCAGCGUCGUGAUGUCCUGUGCUGCAGAAAGCCCUUUUGUUUUCUGACCAGGAGCACACCAAGCCUGCACAGAGCCCGGAGCCGUGAGCGGGGGCCUCAGAUGCCACCCACCGAGGAGGAGGGAGGCGGCCGGCCCUGCAGGUCAGCGUGUGACCUUCCUCUGCUCCCCGCUCUGUCCUGGUGCCCCAGGCCACGAUCUCUGGGGCAAGGAGAGCAGAAACCUCUCCCUGCCCGGGGGGACCGGCAGCAGGCGCCCGGCACCCCGCAGGCCGCGGGGAGGGCAGCGCCGAGGGCUUCCCUUCCCGCUCCAUUUCCCGGCGGCCUCGCCCGCUGCCACGCGGAGCAGGAGCGAGCCUUUUGUCUCGGCUCGGCCGGCCGGGGACAAAGGCGCUGCUGCGCCCUUGGCCGUGCUCUGGAGGGCGUGCACACACCGAGCUGCGGCCGCCGCCGCCCCGCAGCCCCCGGCACGGCGGGACCCGGCCCCCGCUCCCGGGCCGCGGCCGAGCCAGCACCCGCGGCGCGUUGCGGCAGGAACAGCGAUCGGGGAGAAGCGCAGAGGGAGGCCGGGGUGACGGCAGCCGGCGCUGCCGAGCGGCUCCCCGGGCUGCCGAGCAUUAUUUUCCAUGGUAACCGGCCCAACAAGCCCGGGAACAGCAACUUGGCUGGAAAACACGGCGGCGCUCAGCCUCCUCGCUGCCUCUCCCAGCCUGCUGGGUGGCAGGCACGUUUGUCACAGGUGACACCACCCUCCCGUACAUCACGUGGAGAGAGGACAAAUUAUCUCAUUACUCCCCAACAACUAAUUCGUUUAAAGGACCAAACCAAGCAGCACAUCAGUCCGGCAAGUACAGUGAAGGUGAGAGGCAGAGCUAUAGCCAGGCACACAUUACAUACCAGAAGCCACGUUGGAAGAGCACCGGGCGUGAAGCAAAAUGGAGCGCGCGGGGAGAGAGGUGACCAACGCAGCUCCACUUUGCCACCUCGUGUCCCUCGCGGCCCACUGGGGAUAACCCAGCAGCCAGCUGUGCUCCUGUGGGUGCAGGGCCACCAGCAGCCCGGGGCUGGAUGA
rnacentral:lncRNA from 1 species